rnacentral:rRNA from 1 species
CACGUAGGGUGCGAGCGUUGUCCGGAAUUACUGGGCGUAAAGCGUGCGUAGGUGGUUUGUUAAGUCUGUUGUGAAAGCCCCGGGCUCAACCUGGGAAUGGCAAUGGAUACUGGCAGGCUAAAGUGCGGUAGAGGGUAGUGGAAUUCCCGGUGUAGCGGUGAAAUGCGUAGAGAUCGGGAGGAACACCAGUGGCGAAGGCGGCUACCUGGACCAGCACUGACACUGAGGCACGAAAGCGUGGGGAGCAACAGG